rnacentral:rRNA from 1 species
ACGGGUGAGUAAUGCUUACGAAUCUGCCCAGUAGUGGGGGACAACAGUCGGAAACGGCUGCUAAUACCGCAUACGCCCUACGGGGGAAAGCGGGGGAUCUUCGGACCUUGCGCUAUUGGAUGAGCCUAAGUCGGAUUAGCUAGUUGGUGGGGUAAAGGCCUACCAAGGCGACGAUCCGUAGCUGGUCUGAGAGGAUGAUCAGCCACAUCGGGACUGAGACACGGCCCGAACCCCUACGGGAGGCAGCAGUGGGGAAUAUUGGACAAUGGGGGCAACCCUGAUCCAGCCAUGCCGCGUGUGUGAAGAAGGCUUUCGGUUUGUAAAGCACUUUCAGCGAGGAGGAAGGCCUUAAAGUUAAUACCUUUAAGGAUUGACGUUACUCGCAGAAGAAGCACCGGCUAACUCCGUGCCAGCAGCCGCGGUAAUACGGAGGGUGCAAGCGUUAAUCGGAAUUACUGGGCGUAAAGCGCGCGUAGGUGGUUUGGUAAGCGAGAUGUGAAAGCCCCGGGCUUAACCUGGGAACGGCAUUUCGCACUGUCAGACUAGAGUGUGGUAGAGGGUAGUGGAUUUCCUGUGUAGCGGUGAAAUGCGUAGAUAU